AGAAAGAGGGGAAAGAAAAGAGAAAAGGAAGAGGAAAACAAAAAAACCCUAGCCGCCGCCGCCGCUCGCCGUCGCCGCCACCGGACUUUAGCCAACGCGUAAAGGAGCCCAGCCGCAGUCACGAGCCGAGCCUCCUCGUCUAUCCGGUGUCGCCGCAUCGAGUCGGGAAGUUCGAAGCCGCGCUCGCCAGCCGUCGCCUUCGCGGAUCGCCGCCGCGUCUGCCAGCCGAACCCGCGUCUGCUUCGCCGAUGUUCACACGCCCAGCCGAAGCCGCGUCCGCUUUGCCGAUGUUCACACGCCCAGCCGCGUCGCGCCGCUUCGAUUAGACGCAGCGUAGCCCAAGCGUUCGUCUGCAGCCGUCGUGCCACCCGAAUCCGAAAGCCAGCGCCUCGUUGCGCGAAGACCCGACCCGGCCGAAGCUUCCGCUCCGCGACCCGAAACCGACGCGUGCCUCCGACCCGGAACCCACGCCGCGUGCACCUGUGUAGCCGAGCAGCGCCUGCGUGCGAGCCGCACGUGCGCAACCUCUGUACUGAGCUGAGCCGCGCCUGUCUACACCAUGAGCCGCGCCUGCCUGCGCCGCGAGCCGAGCCGAUCCCCAACCUUCAAGCCGAGCCGGUCCCUGUCCUUUUUCCAGCCGAGCCGCCAAGCCUUGUUUGGCUUCUUCCAUCCAAUUUUUGGGGCGUCUUGGACCAAGUAACUGCUGCAGCGUGGGAUUUCUUUAGUAGGGGCUCAAGCAUUGCAACCUCUUUCUAGGUUAGGACCUCGUUGCUUGGAAAGCACACUUGUCUUGCGGUUAGGACUCGCCAAGUAAAUCUCCAGAUAGAGGACGAGGUAAGGGCAAAGGCAAGCUGGCGAGCGACCAGAAGUGACCGUGGCGAGCCAUAGGGAUUUCUGCUUCCGCUUACUCUUGUUUUGACGUUAGUACCUGAGUUUUAGUCUUCUUCACUAUUUGCUACUUCCUUUUUAAAAUGUAGA